rnacentral:rRNA from 1 species
AACGCGAAGAACCUUACCAAGACUUGACAUCGCAUGACAGAUGUGGAAACACAUUUUUCCUUCGGGACAUGUAGACAGGUGGUGCAUGGUUGUCGUCAGCUCGUGUCGUGAGAUGUUCGGUUAAGUCCGGCAACGAGCGCAACCCUUAUGAUUAGUUGCCAAUAUUAAGUUAGGAACUCUAAUCAGACUGCCGUGGGUAACACGGAGGAAGGCGGGGAUGACGUCAAAUCAUCAUGCCCCUUACGUUUUGGGCCUCACACGUGCUACAAUGGGUACUACAAAGAGCAGCAAGCCCGCAAGGGUAAGCGAAUCUCAAAAAAGUAUUCUCAGUUCGGAUUGAGGGCUGCAACCCGCCCUCAUGAAGUUGGAGUUGCUAGUAAUCCCGAAUCAGAAUGUCGGGGUGAAUGCGUUCCCGGGUCUUGUACACACCG